rnacentral:rRNA from 1 species
GACGAACGCUGGCGGCGUGCUUAACACAUGCAAGUCGAACGCUGAAGCCCAGCUUGCUGGGUGGAUGAGUGGCGAACGGGUGAGUAACACGUGAGUAACCUGCCCCCUUCUUUGGGAUAACGCCCGGAAACGGGUGCUAAUACUGGAUAUCCACUGGCCUUCGCAUGGGGGUUGGUGGAAAGGUUUUUUCUGGUGGGGGAUGGGCUCGCGGCCUAUCAGCUUGUUGGUGGGGUGAUGGCCUACCAAGGCUUUGACGGGUAGCCGGCCUGAGAGGGUGACCGGUCACAUUGGGACUGAGAUACGGCCCAGACUCCUACGGGAGGCAGCAGUGGGGAAUAUUGCACAAUGGGCGAAAGCCUGAUGCAGCGACGCCGCGUGAGGGAUGACGGCCUUCGGGUUGUAAACCUCUUUCGCUCAUGGUCAAGCCGCAGCUUUGGGUUGUGGUGAGGGUAGUGGGUAAAGAAGCGCCGGCUAACUACGUGCCAGCAGCCGCGGUAAUACGUAGGGCGCGAGCGUUGUCCGGAAUUAUUGGGCGUAAAGGGCUUGUAGGCGGUUGGUCGCGUCUGCCGUGAAAUCCUCUGGCUUAACUGGGGGCGUGCGGUGGGUACGGGCUGACUUGAGUGCGGUAGGGGAGACUGGAACUCCUGGUGUAGCGGUGGAAUGCGCAGAUAUCAGGAAGAACACCGGUGGCGAAGGCGGGUCUCUGGGCCGUUACUGACGCUGAGGAGCGAAAGCGUGGGGAGCGAACAGG